AGGCCAACGAAUGAUCGGCUGUUUGGCAAGUAGAGACCAGAGGGUGAGCAGCUUCACUUUCUUCCCUCCCUCCAUGAGGGUGGAAGCCGGAUGCUGACAAAUGCAAGAAAUCAUAUACUAAUCAUGAUGUUAGUCAAUGAUUCUUGAUGGAAAAAGAGAGAAUUGGUAAUAAACAAUGAUGGUUGUGUAUAAAAAUGUCGCGGGU
rnacentral:lncRNA from 1 species